UUUUAAACCAGCCUUGGAGGGUUUUCAUGACAAGGAAUUGCACAUUGGAUGAUCAUUUCUACCUUUUGCAAUAACUACUUCUUAUUUGCAAGUUGUGUUUAAGUGAACAAAGACAAUGAUACCCUGUUGAGCUGGUAGGUAGGAAGAACCAGCGAAGCGCACAGUUACCGGAGAGGUUAUUUGCCCAAUGUUGAGAAACAUAUGUGUGUAUUAGAAAAAAUCACAUCGACUCCCAGGAAUCCUGCAACAUACUGCAACUGUGAUGCUGACCAGAAUGAGUGGAGAUUUCCUCAUGAUUUCUCUGUGUGAGAUGCAG
rnacentral:lncRNA from 1 species